rnacentral:rRNA from 1 species
CUCUUAUGGAGAGUUUGAUCCUGGCUCAGGACGAACGCUGGCGGCAUGCCUAAUACAUGCAAGUCGAGCGAACUGUUGGAAGCUUGCUUCCUUCAGUUAGCGGCGGACGGGUGAGUAACACGUGGGCAACCUGCC